AGCUUGGGCCCCACGCAAUGGGAGAUACCGAACCGUGUCAGGAUGGGAACAUAGCAGCACUAAGGUAAACCUUUCAUGUGCCGUGGGUCAUCCUGGGUGGAGU
rnacentral:SRP_RNA from 1 species